rnacentral:rRNA from 1 species
GAUGAACGCUGGCGGCGUGCUUAACACAUGCAAGUCGAACGAACUGUUCUAGAGGAAGUUUUCGGAUGGAAUCUAGGAUAGUUAGUGGCGAACGGGUGAGUAAUGCAUCGGAACGUGCCCAGUCAUGGGGGAUAACUACGCGAAAGCGUAGCUAAUACCGCAUACGCCCUGAGGGGGAAAUGGGGGAUCUUCGGACCUCGCGCGAUUGGAGCGGCCGAUGUCGGAUUAGCUAGUUGGUGGGGUAAAAGCCCACCAAGGCGACGAUCCGUAGCGGGUCUGAGAGGAUGAUCCGCCACACUGGGACUGAGACACGGCCCAGACUCCUACGGGAGGCAGCAGUGGGGAAUAUUGGUCAAUGGACGCAAGUCUGAACCAGCCACGUCGCGUGAAGGAAGACGGCCCUACGGGUUGUAAACUUCUUUUAUACGGGAAUAAAGUGCCCCACGCGUGGGGUUUUGGCAUGUACCGUAUGAAUAAGGAUCGGCUAACUCCGUGCCAGCAGCCGCGG